rnacentral:rRNA from 1 species
UACGGAGGGUGCAAGCGUUAAUCGGAAUUACUGGGCGUAAAGCGUGCGUAGGCGGUUCGUUAAGUCUGUUGUGAAAAGCCCCCGGGCUCAACCUGGGAAUGGCAAUGGAUACUGGCGAGCUAGAGUGUGUCAGAGGAUGGUGGAAUUCCCCGGUGUAGCGGUGAAAUGCGUAGAGAUCGGGGAGGAACAUCAGUGGCGAAGGCGGCCAUCUGGGGGACAACACUGACGCUGAGGCACGAAAGCG